rnacentral:rRNA from 1 species
GCGAACGCGGGGGCAGAGGACGCGGUAGUACGAAGGGUGCAAACCGUGUGCGGAAUUAUGUGGCGGAAAGCGCACGGAGGCGGUCCAUAAAGUCCCAUGUGAAAUCCCACAGCUUAACGGUUGAAGUGCAUGGGAAACCGCUGGACUGGAGUACGUAAGAGGAUCGCGGAAGGCCCGGUGGAGAGGGGAAAUUCGGAGAUAUCGGGAGGAACACCAGUGGCGAAGGCGGCGAUCUGGGAAGAUACUGACGCUGAGGUGCGAAAGCGUGGGGAGCAAACAGGAUUAGAUACCCCGGUAGUC